rnacentral:tRNA from 1 species
GGCUCAUUAGCUCAUUUGGUUAGAGCGUCGUGCUAAUAACGCGAAAGUCGCGGGUUCGAUCCUCUUAUGGGCCA